GGAGUAAUGGAGAACUCCAAGGGCAGGAGGUAACCAUUAAAGAGGACCAUCAUGUAGUGUGAGGAGUCAACAUUUCACACUAGAAAGCCCUUGGUUCAAGUUUUGUCUCUGCCACCUACAGAUUUUGUAACCCUGAGAGAAAAGGAAAAUCCUACGGAGGAGGGGCUCUGAUGGCUUUGAAGAAGGCAGUGAAUGGCCACAUGUUCCCUGAGGACAGCACAGGCUAAAGGCUCAGCUAGAAGAAAGGCACAGAGAUAGCAAGGACACUGAAGGAAUUAACCAGAAAGAAAAGAAGAGAAGAAGGAGAAGAAAGAAGAAGAAGAAGAAGGAGAAGGAGAAGGAGACGAGGGAAGAGGGAGAAGAGAGAGAAGAGGGAGGAAAAGAAGAAGAAGAAGAAGAAGAAGAAGAGGAAGAAGGGGAGGAAGGAGAAAGGAGGAAGGAGGAGGAGGAGAAGAAGAAGAGGAGGAGGAAGAAGAAAAUUGAUGCUGCCUGGAGUUAAAGGAGGCCAGGAGCACCAGAAGCUGGAGGAGGCCGGGGUGGAUUCUCGCCUGGAGGCUUCAGUGGGAGCACGAGCUCCCGACACUUCGGUUCCAUCUCUUGUUUAAAGGCACCCAGUUUCUCAUCAUUUGUUACAGCACCAUGGAAAACCCACACACAAGUGAAGCCCCGACCCACCUCCCAAGUGCCCAUCUGAGCACCCCUCGUGGACUCUGAGCAGGGGGUUGCCAUCACCAACUCCAAGUCUUGCAGCCCCUCUUCCCUUCAGUCUGGCUGCCACCUUCUUCAUUGCCCUGGAAAAAAAUAAUGAAGUUUCACCAUUUAAAGGGUUUCAGUGCAGCUUGCUAUGGGAACACUGGAGAGUAACACAAAUGGCCAAUUGUCCUAAUAGCCACCAUGGAUUGGAUGGAUGCUAACAACAGGCUCACAGUUCUCCUUCUGUUGCCUCCUUUUAUCCACAUGAGAAUCAAACAAGACUACUGAUUAAAUGAAGCCUUUGAUGAAGUGCAUGCAGUUUGUAGCUUGAUUCAUGGGAAUACUCAUCACAGACUGAAAGUGUAACCCAGGGUCUCUGGGUUUUUGGGAACGCGCUGUGUAAAAGUAUCUACUUGUAACUGUUACUCCCUGAGUUGUUGUUGUUUUAGAAAGUUCCAAGAAGAAGCUUAGCCUUGGAAAAAACAAAAACUGGUUGAAUCCAGAAGUGGAGAUGAAUUUUGGCCAACGCUCCUCACUGCCACACUAAAAACCCUGCUCAGAGAGGAGCUUAUUCACCAUGUUCUAUUCAUGCAAUGUGUGUGGAAACAUGAUCUACGACAGCAUGCGUGCUGCCUUCACCCUACCUCUACAUACAAUGACUCAUUUAACCUGCUGAAUAAAAGCCCUGUUUUCACCUUUGCUGGGGGAGGUGCCGCUUUGGGAACUAUUCGCAGUGUCCUCUUCACUUUUUGCAAGUAAUAGAAUACCCUUGUUAAAUCCUA
rnacentral:lncRNA from 1 species